rnacentral:rRNA from 1 species
UGAGGAAUAUUGGUCAAUGGGCGAGAGCCUGAACCAGCCAAGUAGCGUGCAGGAUGACGGCCCUAUGGGUUGUAAACUGCUUUUAUAUGGGAAUAAAGUGAGGGACGUGUCCCUUAUUGCAUGUACCAUAUGAAUAAGGACCGGCUAAUUCCGUGCCAGCAGCCGCGGUAAUACGGAAGGUCCAGGCGUUAUCCGGAUUUAUUGGGUUUAAAGGGAGCGUAGGCUGUUUGUUAAGCGUGUUGUGAAAUGUAAGAGCUCAACUUUUAGAUUGCAGCGCGAACUGGCAGACUUGAGUGCGCACAACGUAGGCGGAAUUCAUGGUGUAGCGGUGAAAUGCUUAGAUAUCAUGACGAACUACGAGUGCGAAGGCAGCUUACGGGAGCGCAACUGACGCUAAAGCUCGAAGGUGCGGGUAUCGAACAGG